CGGAUUGGAGUCUGCAACUCGACUCCAUGAAGCUGGAUUCGCUAGUAAUCGCGCAUCAGCCAUGGCGCGGUGAAUACGUUCCCGGGCCUUGUACACACCGCCCGUCAAGCCAUGGGAGCCGGGAGCGCUUGAAGUGCGUCGCCGCGAGGCGCGCCCUAGAGCGAGACCGGUGACUGGGGCUAAGUCGUAACAAGGUAAC
rnacentral:rRNA from 1 species